rnacentral:tRNA from 1 species
GCGGUUUAACGCAAUAGGUGAGCGGCCUGAUUGUGAAUCAGGUGUACAGAGUUCAAGUCUCUGAAGUCGCCCCA